rnacentral:rRNA from 1 species
GACGAACGCUGGCGGCGUGCUUAACACAUGCAAGUCGAACGGUGAACUCCGCUUGCGGGGGGAUCAGUGGCGAACGGGUGCGUAACACGAGGGCAACCUGCACUCAGCUCUGGGAUAACUCCAAGAACUUGGGGCUAGUACCGGUUAUGACUGCUAACCGCAUGGGCUGGGGGUGGUAGGAUUGAUCGGCUGGGGUUGGUCCCGCGGCCUAUCAGCUUGUUGGUGGGGUAGUGGCCUACCAAGGCGACGACGGGUAGCCGGCCCGAGAGGGGGACCGGCCACACUGGGACUGAGACACGGCCCAGUAUCGUACGGGAGGCAGCAGUGGGGAAUAUUGCGGAAUGGGCGAAAGCCUGACGCAGCGACGCCGCGUGGGGGAUGACCGCUUUCGGGUUGUAAACCUCUUUCAGCAGAGACGAAGCGAAAGUGACGGUACCUGCAGAAGAAGCACCGGCCAACUACGUG